rnacentral:rRNA from 1 species
GAUGAACGCUGGCGGCGUGCCUAAUACAUGCAAGUCGAGCGAACAGACGAGGAGCUUGCUCCUCUGACGUUAGCGGCGGACGGGUGAGUAACACGUGGAUAACCUACCUAUAAGACUGGGAUAACUUCGGGAAACCGGAGCUAAUACCGGAUAAUAUAUUGAACCGCAUGGUUCAAUAGUGAAAGACGGUUUUGCUGUCACUUAUAGAUGGAUCCGCGCCGCAUUAGCUAGUUGGUAAGGUAACGGCCUACCAAGGCAACGAUGCGUACCCGACCUGAGAGGGUGAUCGGCCACACUGGAACUGAGACACGGUCCAGACUCCUACGGGAGGCAGCAGUAGGGAAUCUUCCGCAAUGGGCGAAAGCCUGACGGAGCAACGCCGCGUGAGUGAUGAAGGUCUUCGGAUCGUAAAACUCUGUUAUUAGGGAAGAACAAAUGUGUAAGUAACUAUGCACGUCUUGACGGUACCUAAUCAGAAAGCCACGGCUAACUACGUG